rnacentral:rRNA from 1 species
AGUGCUGAAAGCAUCUAAGCACGAAACUUGCCCCGAGAUGAGUUCUCCCUGACCCUUUAAGGGUCCUGAAGGAACGUUGAAGACGACGACGUUGAUAGGCCGGGUGUGUAAGCGCAGCGAUGCGUUGAGCUAACCGGUACUAAUGAACCGUGAGGCUUAACCUUACAACGCCGAAGCUGUU